rnacentral:tRNA from 1 species
GGGGUUGUAGCUCAGUGGUAGAGCUGUGCCCAUGAUGUGUGAGACCCUGGGUUCAAUCCCCAGCAAUACCA